rnacentral:piRNA from 1 species
UGCAAGAAAAAGAUGCUUGGCCUGUGCCCA